UGCACUGGAAGUGACUUGAGCAGGGACACGUGGUUUGAAGGAUAAGCAGAGACCGCUUGUUGUGAAAGACAAAAAUAAGCAAAUAAAAGUCAAAGCACUCCCCAGAGCAAACAGCCUAGUGAGCUGAGGGAACAGCAGGCCCUCUAGAAGCCAAGGGCCGGGGGCUGGGUGAUCCUUUAUAAGACAUGCACACAGCGCCAGCGUCUCCCGAGCUUGCGCGAGGCAGAACCUUCUGGAGCUUGCUCUGUCUGUUGUGUGAUGCUCAGGAGAGGAAGGACCAACCACCUGAGGGUCCCCCAGAGGCCAUGGCAUGAACAUUGCUAACUUCAUUGCCUUGGACACAACGGGGACCAGAAGACACGGAAGAUGGCCUUGAACUUGUGAUCUUCCUGCCUCCACCUGCUGAGUGCAAGGAUUAUGGGUGUUUGCCAUCACACAUGAAUCACAUGCUGCUGGGGACGGAGCCCACGGCCUUGUGUGCGUAGGCGGACACUAUAUCUGAGUGCUUCACCUGAGUGCUGAGCCGCUUCCCCAGCCUGUGUUCACUGUCUUCAGCCUCUGAGCUAGCACACAGUCUUUAGAGCCGUUGCUGAUUUUUCCUGUGAUUGUGUCCUCCCGUUAUUUCCAUGUGAUGGCCUGGCAGCAAAUGCCGGACUUCUAAAAUCUUAGCUUCUGACACUCCUGCAGAGACAGUUCUGUUCCACAAGAUCUAAAGAAUCACAGCCCAGAGAUCUCGUUCCCACGGAGCAAAGCGGAAAACAGGCCGGAGCAAAGGUCCCCGCCAAGCUGAAGGAGACCAGGGAGAAACGCCAACAGCCUCGACUUCUGCAGGCAGAGCCCCGUGAAAGGACCCUGUUGGGACGUGCACACUGCGGCCGCCAGGAGGCUAAUCCCCUCCAGAUGGAAGCGUGUUGACUUGAGGCUGGGCCCGCAUGGCACUGGGUGACAGGGAGCGCCGCGCCAUGAUGAAGCAGGGUUCAAAUCCCAGAGCCCACGUAAAACAUCCACUGGUGGCACAAGUCUGUAACCCCAUCCGUAUGUGGCCCAGAGACAGAGGGGUUGCAUGCGCCUCUGGUCUCUCCACGCUCAUGGGUAGAUGGAUGUGUAUGUGUGUGCGCACAUGUGCACACACAUGCAGGCACAUGUACCACACACGAAGUAAAAUAUACACACACAAAGUAAAAUAUAUGGAUUCAGUUACUAAGGCAAUAAUACCAUUUCUUAGGACUUGGGACCAAUUUGAGAGGAAAGUUAAGAUAUAUUUAGGAAAUUCUGAAUACAAGUCUUUUGAAUUCACGAAAA